UACGUAGGGUGCAAGCGUUGUCCGGAAUUAUUGGGCGUAAAGAGCUCGUAGGCGGUCUGUCGCGUCUGCUGUGAAAACUCAGGGCUUAACCCUGAGCUUGCAGUGGGUACGGGCAGACUAGAGUGCGGUAGGGGAGACUGGAAUUCCUGGUGUAGCGGUGAAAUGCGCAGAUAUCAGGAGGAACACCUGCGGCGAAGGCGGGUUGCUGGGCUGACACUGACGCUGAUGCGCGAAAGCCAGGGGAGCGAACGGG
rnacentral:rRNA from 1 species